rnacentral:rRNA from 1 species
GACGAACGCUGGCGGCGUGCUUAACACAUGCAAGUCGAGCGGUAAGGCCCUUUCGGGGGUACACGAGCGGCGAACGGGUGAGUAACACGUGGGUGACCUGCCCUCAGCUCUGGGAUAAGCCUGGGAAACUGGGUCUAAUACUGGAUAUGACUCCACGGUGCAUGUCGUGGGGUGGAAAGCCUUGUGCGGCUGAGGAUGGGCCCGCGGCCUAUCAGCUUGUUGGGGGGUGAUGGCCUACCAAGGCGACGACGGGUAGCCGGCCUGAGAGGGCGACCGGCCACACUGGGACUGAGACACGGCCCAGACUCCUACGGGAGGCAGCAGUGGGGAAUCUUGCGCAAUGCGCGAAAGCGUGACGCAGCAACGCCGCGU